GGACCCCAUCUCAAAAAAAAAAAAAAAAUUAAGCUGGUGAUAGUAAAGCCAUGUUAUGAGCUUUAAGGACAUUGAAGUCAUUAAGAUUCCUGGAAAUGGCUACAAAA
rnacentral:snoRNA from 1 species